rnacentral:rRNA from 1 species
UACGUAGGGGGCGAGCGUUAUCCGGAAUCAUUGGGCGUAAAGGGUGCGUAGGCGGCCGCCCAAGCAGGGGGUAUAAGGCCACGGCUUAACCGUGGCUUGCCCCCUGAACUGGGCGGCUUGAGUGCAGGAGAGGAAAGCGGAAUUCCUAGUGUAGCGGUGAAAUGCGUAGAUAUUAGGAGGAACACCAGUGGCGAAGGCGGCUUUCUGGACUGCAACUGACGCUGAGGCACGAAAGCGUGGGGAGCAAA